rnacentral:rRNA from 1 species
UAAGACGGCUAUAUCGAAGGUGCUCCACCUGUUCCCAUUCCGAACACAGAAGUGAAAUCCUUCAGAGCCGAUGGUAGUGAUUAUUCGCGAGAGUAGGUCGCCGUCUUAC